UUCUAUUUAAAGCAAAAAUGGUGGAGACAUUUCUACUUGUUUUUGGCCAAACAAUGGAGUAUGAAAUUGGCCAUUAAGGUUUUGGUCAAGCCCUUGAUCAUGGCUUAGCUGAAUCUUUCUUAACUCUUAAACCCCCAAACCACCAUGCAAACCCUAAACCUCUAAGCCACCAAAAACCUUAAACCCAAACCACUUAACACUUAACCCUAAGCCCUAAACCUAACUCUAAACCCUAAAUCUAAAACUAAAUCCUAAGCCAAAACCCUAAACCUGAAAUCUAAACUAAAUCCUAAAACUAAUCAUAAACCCUUAACCUUAAACUUAACCUAAACCCUAAAACCUAACAUUGACUUUAAACCCUAAACCUAAACACCUAAAACCUAAAGUAAACCCUAAACCCUAAACCUAAUCUAAAUCCUAAAAACCCAAACCAAUCCCAAACUCUAAAAUUAACACUUAAUUCCAUUGAUGC
rnacentral:lncRNA from 1 species